rfam:Cajanus cajan Scaffold000144_5, whole genome shotgun sequence.
GGGUUUAGAUUGAAUUGUCGCCCCAGUCUUAAUUUGCACCACGAGGUGUAAGAUGCUGAAUGACAUUCUUAUCUGAUCC